rfam:Marininema halotolerans strain DSM 45789 genome assembly, contig: Ga0104500_109
GGCGGCGUAGCUCAACUGGUUAGAGCGUACGGUUCAUACCCGUAAGGUUGGGGGUUCGAGACCCUCCGCCGCUA